GUUUUCUUUCCCGCUCUGGCAGUUGUAUUACAUGGGUUGAGCUGGAAGGACAUGUUUUUUUCAAAUGUAAUUUAAGAGCCGUGCUUCUUUGAGAGCUUAACAUCUUCACGGAGAAUCCUGUGUGUAAGAUCAGUGUGUGAGGGUAAAGCAGCCAUUCCAUAAAUGGUUGUCUUCAUAUCUGGAAUUCAACAUUGAAUAUUGAAUAUUUAAUAUGUAGCACUAUAAUAAAGUAUAAAACAACCUUAUAAAAGGUUUACAUGUCUUAAAUCUUCCUGAACAUUAACGAACCCGCACUCGUGGAACAAUAUAAUUAGGUAUAAUUAAUAUAUAAAUACCACCAGUGUUACAUUUGGUCUUAGUAUUUUUAUGUAAUUAAUUAAUAAUUGCUUUAUUUAAUCAGCUUAUGUCUUCUUUUGUAAUACUCUUAAUCAGAAAUAUUUAUUUUAAACAGCAUUUUUGAUUUAAUACCUUGAGUUAACAGUUACUGAAGUGUCCAUCUCAACAGCAGAUAUAACUUUCCCAAGUUGAUCCACCUGAGAUGCACGGCGUACCCACAAACACGGCCCUGAAGUACAGCUGGUGCUUUUAAAAUCUUCAAUGAAGUCUAGUACUUCAAAUAGGGUGGCUACGACAUGUCUACAGCAUCCGUCAAUUCUGGAAUAAAUUAAUUCGUAUGCAAUCAUGUUAUUUAAAAAAAUGAGACAUGAGCCAAAAAUAAAAUAAAACAGGUUGUGAAUACAGUAUAAAACAUUUGUUUUAAGUAUUUUGAGGCACUUGUCCUAAAACCAAACCAAGCAAUUGUUCACUUUACUUUAUGACAUAUAAUAAUAAUUUCUGCUGUAAUUUUUUGAUUGGGAAAAUGUUAAGCAAAUUGGAAAAAUUUUCUUGGGGAAAAGGGUAAAAUAUUUUGAGCCAC